ACUUCUGUUUCAAAGAUGGACUGGGGAAAGACAUUAAGUUUGGAGCAGCUCAGUGCUACGGAUCUAGCCUCUCUCCCUCGGGUCUCCAGACUCACUUGGUCCAAGCUGCGGAGCAGGGACAGCGGAGCUCAGGCGGCCACGUUCAGGCCCAGCCACCAGAACCAGAGAGAAACCUACGCCCAGAAGAACAUGUCCCUGGAUUGCUUUCCCACUGCUGUGGAGUGUCUUGAACACUGGUCCCUGGACACCAACUUCAAGAAGACUUCAUGGAUGGCUGUCCAGUCUUAUGAGCCACAGUUUCCCCUCUACAUUUUCUUCACUCCAGCGAGGCUCUUAUCAGGGUCAGAUCAGAGAUGAACCAGCUGGACGACAGAUUGGAGCGCUGACCUCUUAGAGUGCUAACAGUGAACAGUGUGGGGUCAGAUCUAUAGAAAGAUAAUAAUAAGAAAACACCCUAUAUGCAAGGGAGAGGGAUGGUUCAUAAUUUCUUAAAGAUUGAAAUCAAGGAACAAUCAAAAUAUAGAAGAAUGUGGACGUGUUUUGCUGCAGGACUUCUGUUUUGUCCCCAUUGGAAUAUGUAUUAUGGUAUUCCUGUUGGAUCAGGACUCAGGGGCAAGGCUAAGCAUUCCAGUGGUCCUCCUACUUAGCUCUUGUCCUUUCGUAAGAAACACCAACUCAUUAGUCUCUAUAUUACUUCUCUGUACUGUAGAUCUGCAUUCUUGAUCUGAGAGAUAUUGGCAAUGACACUCUUGUAUGAUAAAGCUCAAUGAUAAGAGUACUUCAAACCCCCUUGAACUUUUUGUUUAUACAUCAAGUGGUGACAUUGUGUAUUGAGCUAAUUAGAUCAAUGGAGUCACAGGGUGAUACUGAACUCUUUUAAAAUAUUUGGCUGAAACAUGACAUUGUAGUUAUUUGUAGAAGAGAACAUUAUGGAAUAUGAAAAACAUCACAGAACACAGAACUAGCAGCAGAAACUAGCAGCAGUUCAGUCGAGGAAUAGCUUCCUCCAGGUGGUCUAUACCUAUCGCCAGUUUACAGAAAAAGGAAGCCAGGUGGAUGGAAAACGUGUGCCAAGUUUCUGUGCUUACAAUCCACUAAACUCAUUCUCAUAUGAGGACUUUAUAUACCUGUGAUGGAGUGGGAAAAUCAAUAACCUGGAAAAAAUGAGUACCAUUUUCCAAAGAAGUUCAAUAAAGAGAUGGAAUUUGGGAAA
rnacentral:lncRNA from 1 species